rnacentral:rRNA from 1 species
UACCUACGGGAGGCAGCAGUGAGGAAUAUUGGUCAAUGGGCGGAAGCCUGAACCAGCCAAGUCGCGUGAGGGAAUAAGGCCCUACGGGUCGUAAACCUCUUUUGCCGGGGAGCAAGGGCCGGGACGCGUCCCGGCCCGGAGAGUACCCGGAGAAAAAGCAUCGGCUAACUCCGUGCCAGCAGCCGCGGUAAUACGGAGGAUGCGAGCGUUAUCCGGAUUUACUGGGUGUAAAGGGCGUGUAGGCGGGAUGGUAAGUCAGAUGGGAAAACUAUGGGCUCAACCCAUAGCCUGCAUUUGAAACUAUU